rnacentral:rRNA from 1 species
GACGAACGCUGGCGGCGUGCUUAACACAUGCAAGUCGAACGGAAAGGCCCUGCUUUUGUGGGGUGCUCGAGUGGCGAACGGGUGAGUAACACGUGAGUAACCUGCCCUUGACUUUGGGAUAACUUCAGGAAACUGGGGCUAAUACCGGAUAGGAGCUCCUGCUGCAUGGUGGGGGUUGGAAAGUUUCGGCGGUUGGGGAUGGACUCGCGGCUUGUCAGCUUGUUGGUGGGGUAGUGGCUUACCAAGGCUUUGACGGGUAGCCGGCCUGAGAGGGUGACCGGCCAAAUUGGGACUGAGCUACGGCACAGACUCGUACGGGAGGCAGCAGUGGGGAAUAUUGCACAAUGGGAGGAAGCCUGAUGCAGCAACGCCGCGUGCGGGAUAACGGCCUGCGGGUUGUAAACCGAUUUCGCCUGUGACGAAGCGUGAGUGACGGUAAUGGGUGAAGAAGCACCGGCUAACUACGUG